UACGGAGGAUGCAAGCGUUAUCCGGAAUGAUUGGGCGUAAAGCGUCCGCAGGUGGCACUUCAAGUCUGCUGUUAAAUACUAGGGCUCAACCCUGGAGUGGCGGUGGAAACUGAGGAGCUAGAGUGCGGUAGGGGUAGAGGGAAUUCCCAGUGUAGCGGUGAAAUGCGUAGAGAUUGGGAAGAACACCGGUGGCGAAAGCGCUCUGCUAGGCCGCAACUGACACUAAUGGACGAAAGCUAGGGGAGCGAAUGGG
rnacentral:rRNA from 1 species